AUUCUUGUCUUAGAUUUUUCUAGAUACGGAUGUAUCAAGUCACAUUUUAGUAUUAGAUACAUCCGUAUCUAGACAAAUCUAAGACAAGAAAUUUGGGACAGAGGGAGUAGUUG
rnacentral:pre_miRNA from 1 species